GUGAAUCAUCGAAUCUUUGAACGCACAUUGCGCCCGCCAGUAUUCUGGCGGGCAUGCCUGUUCGAGCGUCAUUUCAACCCUCAAGCCCAGCUUGGUGUUGGGACUCGCGAGUUAAAUCGCGUUCCCCAAAUUGAUUGGCGGUCACGUCGAGCUUCCAUAGCGUAGUAGUAAAACCCUCGUUACUGGUAAUCGUCGCGGCCACGCCGUUAAACCCCAACUUCUGAAUGUUGACCUCGGAUCAGGUAGGAAUACCCGCUGAACUUAAGCAUAUCAAUAAGCGGAGGA
rnacentral:misc_RNA from 1 species